rnacentral:rRNA from 1 species
UACUGGGGGGGCAAGCGUUGUUCGGAAUUACUGGGCGUAAAGGGCUCGUAGGCGGCCAACUAAGUCAGACGUGAAAUCCCUCGGCUCAACCGGGGAACUGCAUCUGAUACUGGAUGGCUUGAGAUUGGGAGAGGGAUGCGGAAUUCCAGGUGUAGCGGUGAAAUGCGUAGAUAUCUGGAGGAACACCGGUGGCGAAGGCGGCAUCCUGGACCAACACUGACGCUGAGGAGCGAAAGCCAGGGGAGCAAACGGG